GAUGAACGCUGGCGGCGUGCCUAAUACAUGCAAGUCGAGCGAACAGACGAGGAGCUUGCUCCUCUGACGUUAGCGGCGGACGGGUGAGUAACACGUGGAUAACCUACCUAUAAGACUGGGAUAACUUCGGGAAACCGGAGCUAAUCCCGGAUAAUCUAUUGAACCGCAUGGUUCAAUAGUGAAAGACGGUUUUGCUGUCACUUAUAGAUGGAUCCGCGCCGCAUUAGCUAGUUGGUAAGGUAACGGCUUACCAAGGCGACGAUGCGUAGCCGACCUGAGAGGGUGAUCGGCCACACUGGAACUGAGACACGGUCCAGACUCCUACGGGAGGCAGCAGUAGGGAAUCUUCCGCAAUGGGCGAAAGCCUGACGGAGCAACGCCGCGUGAGUGAUGAAGGUCUUCGGAUCGUAAAACUCUGUUAUUAGGGAAGAACAAAUGUGUAAGUAACUAUGCACGUCUUGACGGUACCUAAUCAGAAAGCCACGGCUAACUACGUG
rnacentral:rRNA from 1 species